rnacentral:rRNA from 1 species
UGGGGAAUCUUGCGCAAUGGGGGAAACCCUGACGCAGCGACGCCGCGUGCGGGAUGAAGGCCUUCGGGUUGUAAACCGCUUUCAGCAGGGACGAGGCCUUAUGGUGACGGUACCUGCAGAAGAAGCUCCGGCUAAAUACGUGCCAGCAGCCGCGGUAAUACGUAUGGAGCAAGCGUUAUCCGGAUUGAUUGGGCGUAAAGCGCUCGUAGGCGGUCUGUUAGGUCGGCAAGUUAAAUCCGGGGGCUCAACCCCCGUCCGCUUCCGAUACCGGCAGACUUGAGUUUGGUAGGGGAAGGUGGAAUUCCUAGUGUAGCGGUGGAAUGCGCAGAUAUUAGGAAGAACACCGGUGGCGAAGGCGGCCUUCUGGGCCAUAACUGACGCUGAGGAGCGAAAGCUAGGGGAGCGAACAGG